ensembl:lncRNA
CCGAAGAGUUGAUCUUCCUCUGAAUUGGAAAGAAUUGCACAUUAAAAAGUUUGAAACCGACGGCUGAUCUCAAACUGAGACCUUUCGUUUGACCCAAAGCAGCAGUAGGGAGAUGGGGAUGGCGAGCCUUGCCUCUUUUGUGAUGCAGAGAGAAAGUGGAGAAACCAGCGAGCGCAUCCAUGUACAAGUGCGGGUGACUUCAGCCAGAAGUGGCGGAGGGGUUUAACUCACCAUAUUGAAGUCAGCAGGAUGAGUUCACAGCCCUUUAAAGGCUUGAGAAAACAGCUUCCCCUCUGCCUGAGCCUCCUGGUUUUCCUAAGCGAGAUGAGACCACGUGCAAAGGCAUCAGCCCUCUCUGCAGCAAUGAGAACAGUGCAGUGUCAAGCAGCGAGAGAAGGAAACCACUCCUGGGAGCUCUUGUCACUUCUGGCUGUUAUUUCAGGUGUCUCAGGCUCCUGUCAUGGAGUUUCAGAGUGGAUUGCUGUUUAUCUGAAGUUCUAGAGCGAGGAAAAAGGCCAGGUGAGGAGGUGCUGGUUGACAGUGGGUAGCUGUGAUCCCAGAGGAGGAGGACGAGUCACUCUUGCUGCCGGGGUUUGAUGGAUCUUAUCUUAUCUCACCUUGGUGCAUCUCUCUGCUCAAAUCUGAUUCAGCACAUGAAAAGUCCAGCAGCAGACUCCUGCGACCACGCCUGGAGCUGGGCUGACAGACGGAGCAAGGACGACGUCCUGAGCUUUGGCUUGGCUGCUGUAUGGGGAAUAAUUCUUGUGGGCCCCUUUCUGCUUGUGUGAGCGUUUUCGGAGCAUCUUCAGAAGCACCAGCCCUCUCCUCUGUCGUAUUAUUUUUGUUUGUAAAUCCUGGCUGAAGAAGGAUCUCGGCUCAAACAUAAAGCUCCAUCUGACCUGAGCAGCACGGGGCAAAUCUGGGAUCAAGCCUGUGAAGAAAACGGGUUUAUUAGCCUUAUAAAUUGAAUCUGGAGUUCUUGGUGCAAAUAACCUAGUACCCUCCCAAGUGACUCUGCUUUAAUGAGAAUUGUCAAAGCUGCAGGUCUCACAGAUGUGAUAAAGAUUGGACAACUCUAGGGGUGGACAGCCAGGUUCCAGUGUGCUUCUGCCCAGCCUAGAAGAGCUCCCUCAGCAACACCAGGGCUUCUCUCCCUACGGAUGGAGGGAAGUUCCCAACAUAUUCUCACAUUCCUCCAGUUAAAAACUUCCCACCCACAGACAUCCCAGAGCAUCCCUUUGGAGAACGAAACACAAAGGGAAUCCAAGAUGAUGCUUGGCUUCCUGCUGCUGAGACAAAUAGUGAGGCUGUUAAACUCUACCAUUGUCCCACGUCCUUUAGAGUGGAAAGAGUUUGUACUCCUUGCUCUAAGAUUUACGCAGCAGUGCUCUCCAACUCCAGGCAGCUGGGAAGUCCCCAUCUGAAACCUCUCCACAAGCUGAUGGGAAGCAGCAAGACCCACACUGCCUUCAUCAUUGUCAUCCCCAUCAAUGGAGCCAACGGGUCAGAAAACUCCCAUCCGUUACACCUAUGGCAUGCCAUCAGCUCGCAGGUGAUGAGGAAAAGCAGAUGCAGUUUUUGGUGAGCCAGUUGUUCUCCCGUUUUGCACAUCCCAAAAUGAGCUUCAAGAUUCCAAGCAUGCUUCACGCUGUAGGGUUCUGUCCACAGGGUCUGGGCUGGAUGUGACCUUAGGAGUGAAUGCAGUGUGGGGAACAGAAAAAUUCAGCAAAAAAAGAGCAAAUGUGUUAACGGAGGGCAAAAAAAAAACACACAUCAUGUAGUUCCCUCUAUUCUUAGUUUUAUGCAUUCGGCCGGUUCUGGAGUGACUGAAAACCUGAGAAUUUGAAAGGAAUGUUGUGAUUUCAGCCGAGUUCAAUAUUCUCUUCAAUAUUUUGAAAAGUGGAAGUCUUAGGCAGCUGAACAGAACUUUGCCCAUUGACAAUUCCUGCUUAGAGAAUAAACUUAGAAUAAAUAAAGGCAUCAUAGUGGGAAUUGGCUGGAGUAAACCAUUCUGUGCUGCAGUAAAAUUCAAUUCUAGGUGGUUUCAGUUGCGAUCUCCAAUACAAACCCUGAACGUUACUGUCCUUCAAAUGCUUCUUUAUUGGAAAGCAGUCCCAGUGUCCCAGAAAGCCCCCAAAGGCUUUCUUUUGCCAUAUGCCUGCACUCAGCUGCAAGUUGUUCAUGCUGCGCUCAUGAGGGUGGGCAUCCACCUCACUUCAGCCUUUCAGACCCGAAGUAUCAAGCCUAAACCUACUGCCACGGUUCCCUUGUUUUUCAGAGGGAGGUUGGAACUGCAGCCUCCUACAGCUCUGCAGGCAGGGUGCUUGCUUCCAGCUGACCACGCUCAGGGAGAUGUACUGGGCUACUCGGUGAUUCCUAUUCCUCCUCCUGUUACGUUUUUCUUCCCUACCUGCCUUAACAACACUCUGUUUACGCUAUCUCAGGCCAAGGAUCAAAGUGCUAUUCCCCUCUGCCAAGAGCGAUUUAGCAGUGCCUUCCUUGGACUUGCUUUGUUAUAACUUUUGCAUUGCCCGGGUGCUGAGUUAUUCAUUAUGCGCAGGCUGCAGAGACAAUUGUAUGCGUUCCUCUUCCUGUCUGUGCAAUAUUUUGACAUUUCCCUGUGUCUAUUGGAAUUCAGUCCUGUCUUUAAAUAAAUAUCUUGCUUUCCCAUGGGAAGAGCUCCAGGAGCUCCUACCUCAGUGCUGCUU